GAUGAACGCUGGCGGCGUGCCUAAUACAUGCAAGUCGAGCGAACAGAUGAGGAGCUUGCUCCUCUGACGUUAGCGGCGGACGGGUGAGUAACACGUGGAUAACCUACCUAUAAGACUGGGAUAACUUCGGGAAACCGGAGCUAAUACCGGAUAAUAUAUUGAACCGCAUGGUUCAAUAGUGAAAGACGGUUUUGCUGUCACUUAUAGAUGGAUCAGCGCCGCAUUAGCUAGUUGGUAAGGUAACGGCUUACCAAGGCAACGAUGCGUAGCCGACCUGAGAGGGUUAUCGGCCACACUGUAUGUGAGUCACGGUCCAUACUCCUACGGGAGGCAGCAGUAGGGAAUCUUCCGCAAUGGGCGAAGACCUGACGGAGCAACGUCGCGUGAGUGAUGAAGGUCUUCGGAUCGUAAAACUCUGUUAUUAGGGAAGAACAAAUGUGUAAGUAACUAUGCACGUCUUGACGGUACCUAAUCAGAAAGCCACGGCUAACUACGUG
rnacentral:rRNA from 1 species